GGUGUUAGGACCGGGCCAGGAAAUAGACAAACUCAAGUUAGCACAAAGUAGGCGGUAUGACCGACCAUAUAAUAGAUAGGCGGUAGAUACCAGCCAUAUAAUAAUUAGGCGGUAAAACCGACCAUAUAAAGACAGAUAGCAAAGCAAAUAAAAGACACAGAAGAUUUACGUGGUUCGGUCAAAUUGACCUACGUCCACGGGCGAGGGAGGAGCAAUAUUUCUACUAUGAAGAAGAAAUACAAAAGCCGUAGGAAAGUGGUUCCUAGGCCAAUAGGCACUUACAAAAGAGUUUAGAAAAUAUUCCUAAACUCAAAAUAAGAGAGCCUAAAAUAUUUGACUGAAUGGGCUAAAUGACUUAAGAAGCUAAUAGCCCAUAUAACUCUCUUAAGUGGUGCACUUAAACUUCUCAAAGGCCUUCUCUAUUUAUAGGAAACAAUGGAGGCUAUUCCCUCAGCUUCUGGCGAUGUGGGAUUACAAAAUUCUGCCACAGUCAAGAAUCAAGAAUUGCGGCUGCAGCAAGAAGUCAAGAGUUGCUGCUGUGGCUUGACUUUAACAAAU
rnacentral:lncRNA from 1 species